ensembl:lncRNA
GGAAAUGCCACGUGUGUCCACUUAUAUCAGUUCAUUCAUAACCUAACCAUUACGAAACUUUUAUUCAAAUAAGCCUCACGUAGCAAAUUAGCUAUUACAUUUUUUGUUGACCAAAUUCGACACUCAUGGACCUCCAUACAAAAAUUCCUCACUUCGUGGUCCAAUUUUCGUGGACAGAUUUUGGACGGAAUAAACCCUCUCGCUUCACCUCUUCCUCCCGGUUUUUACCCAUCACAUCAGAUCUUUCCACAGAUACAAGUAUGCUAUGUAGAACAAACAUGCAUCUCUAAUAUGUUGAAUUAGAAAUCAUGUCGGCUCUAGAUGAGGUAUUUCUGUCUGCAACGUUGGAGCAGUGAGUCAGGCUUUCCCCAAGAAAUGUACAAAGAAAAAAUAAGAAAAAACAUUAAAUAAUUGAUCUAUAGUCUCUCUAUGUUCCAUCAUUUUCCUACAAUUCGCUGAAUGUACAGUGCAUUCGGAAAGUAUUCAGACCCCCUUUUUCCACAUUUUGUUACGCUACAGCCUUAUUCUAAAAUGUAUUAAAUAAAAACAUUUCAUCAAUCUACACACAAUACCCCAUAAUGACAAAGCAAAAACAGGUUUCUAGAAAUUCUUGCAAAUGUAUAAAAACAAAACAAAAAUGAAAUACCUUAUUUACCUAAAUAUUCAGACCCGUCUCUAUGCAACUCUAAAUUAAUCUCAGGUGCAUCCUGUUUCCAUUGUUAAUCCUUGAGAUGUUUCUACAACUUGAUUGGAGUCCACCUGUGGUAAAUUCAAUUGACUGGACAUGACUUGGAAAGGCACACACCUGUCAAUAUAACGGGGAAGGGUGGCAAAACAUUUCUGCAGCAUUGAAGGUCCCCAAGAACACAGUGGCCUCCAUUACUCUUAAUUGGAAGAAGUUUGGAACCACCAAGACUUUUCCUAGUGCUAGCCUGCCCAGCCAAACUGAGCAAUUGGGGGAGAAGGGCCUUGGUCAGGGAGGUGACCAAGAACCUGAUGGUCACUCUGACAGAGCUCCAGAGUUCCUCUGUGGAGAUGGGAGAACCUUCCAGAAGUACAACAUCUCUGCAGCACUCCACCAAUCAGGCCUUUAUGGUAGAGUGGCAAGGCGGAAGCCAUUGGAUGGUUAGCUAGCUUAUAUUAUAAGAAUAAACAAAUGUUGACAUAAAUGCAGUUCUAUAGCUUCAAAAUAUUUCUUACAAAUGGUGGAGGGUGCCAAGAUGGAGGAAUAGUGUCUUCAAAACAGUCAUCUAGUGCAGGAAUGUAGGCUGCUGUAUCGCAUUGGUGAAAAUCAAGACUGUUCUCAGGGCAGGUCUGCCGGUUUUGUGUCGCAGAAGUGACUUUUUGGAACAGGUUUGGAGAAUUUACACAGCAUGUUAGGAGAAUUAAUGUGGCAGGUUAGGAUAAUUACCGUGGCAGGUUAGGAGAAUUAGGUUAAGGUAAGGAAAAGGGUUAGGGUGAGCUAAAAUGCAAAAUUGUCCAAGGCGCGACUUUAACAAAUCUAGCUGGCGGUGAAGAAGAUGGCUGACGUUUUACAUGCCUGUAACCAAUUGUGCUAUUUUGUUCUUUUUUUUGCAUUGUUUAACUUAUUUUUUUUAACUUAUUUUGUACAUAAUGUUGCUGCUACUGUCUCUUAUGACCGGAAAUAACUUCUGGACAUCAGAACUGGGAUUACUCACCACGAACUGGAAGAAGCUUUUUCCUUUAACGGGUCCGAUGAGAGAUAUACUGCUCUCCCGGGAACAGGCCCAGAUCCCCAUCAUUUGCGUGAAGAAAAGAUGGAGGAAAAGAGGUUGCAGAUCGGGCUGUCUUUUGAGAAUCCGUAGGUGAGCGAGUAAACUCCCACUGCCAUCAAUUCUACUUGCUAACACGCUAUAAUUGGAAAAUAAAAUUGAUGACCUACGAUUACGAUUAUCCUACCAACGGUACAUUAACAACUGUAAUAUCGUAUGUUUCACCGAGUCGUGGCUGAACGCUGACACAGAUAAUAUAGAGCUGGAGGGAUUUUCAAUGCACCGGUAGAACAGUCGCUCAGUCUUUGUUCUUUAUCGACCCAGACGUUCGUUCUAAAUGUUCCAUUGCCAUACUGGCUUGCUUGCUUGCUAGCUAGCCAACUACAGUUAACUUACAGUCACGUCAAAAAGCACAGCCAGAAUAACACCAAAGUAGCCGCAUUUGCAUUUGUUAAUGAAGCACGAUUUCACCUGGCAUAGAAAAUAUGCUCACUCGUUAGGUCACUAUUAUUCAGAGGAGCUAGCCAACAACACAACUAACACAAUCACUUCAACAUGAAGCUGGAAACACUGCAAACUAGCUGCACUUCGUUUCAUUUUACCUCUUUUAAAAUGUAAAUUUCUAUGUAUAUAUGCCUGCUGAUUCCUGAUUUCGACUGGCUGAGAAACGUUGCCUGCAUCUCGUUCCAACUCCCGACACAUUCAUUGCUAUGGGACAGCUGGAGAUUGAAUUUCAAUAUAGAAACAAUUUUAUAAUGUCAGAGACAGACAGCAAGCAGAUCUCCGCUGUUGAAAACUAAAUGUUAGUCUAAAAGAAAUGUGAGAUAAUGAUUAGAUACUUUUUAUAGUGGAGAUCAAAUGUAUAAAUUGCUUGACUGGGCUGAAGAGACAAUGGAUUGCGCAGUCAGAUGGAACAGAGUAAAUAGGAAUUUUAAAAUCAUAGAUUUAGCCGGUGGUAAUUUGUGGAAUUGACAGCGGCUGGAAUGUGGUUUUAACCAAUCAGCAUUCAGGAUUAACCCACCUGUUGUAUAAAAAAAUGAUUUAAAAAUGCUACAAAAAUGUGGAACUUCUAGGCUUAAACCGUACACACGUUGAAAACAAGCUGGCUAACAGUGUACAUGGCUAACAGGACAAGAACUAGCACAGCUAACGUUAACAAGUUAGCAUGAAAACUUGGCUAAAACAACCAUAAUACACUUCACAAUAUGACAAACUACAUGUCGUACAUUAGUUCAUACAUAUUUCGUGACAGUUUGGUCGUAAUUAUAUCAAAAGAAAGUGACAUUAACUGCGAAAAGGAGCGGGAGAAGCAUUUUCAACCUACCAUUAAUUCCAUCAGCAUGAAACAGUCGGGGAAAAUGGUGUGCACAAAUAAUACAGCAGCUAGGGUACAAUACCGACAACCAACCACACGAUUUCUGUCAAGUACCUCUGAAUGAAAGCUGUCAAUAUGAAUAAUUGAAACUAUAAGACAUAUUCAAACAUGAACUCAGUAACAUGAAUUCAAAGCUUAUUAAACUAAUUUUGGCGAACUUAAAACAGGAUAUAUGUUCUUACUCUGUUACACGUGCAAGGUGGGAGGUCAUAUAAAACACCAUGGAGUCUUCAGGAGGACCAUUCAUUCCCUCAACCCUUUUCUACAUAUGAAAUGCUCUGGAGAGCCCUGACUUUGGCAACCUAAUUAUAUUUCGACCUAGUCGGGCACAAUUGCAACACUUCACAGGUUUAUCAUAUCAAAAUGAUCUUAUUUUCCACAACUUCCACAUAUCGACUUCUCCUACUGAUACUUGACACAUGUCCAAAAGCCAUACAGUGAAUACAAUGCAUCGGUGCAUGGCACGAACGGUCUGUCAUGGUGAUUCACAUUACCCAAAUGCACCUGGUAGAGAGAGACUCCGUACAACAACAAAAAAAUAACAGACUCUUUACAUUCACUCCUUUCGCAACACGAUUCAUCCGACGGGCAUCAACCACUCCAGGGAUACUCUUCAUUUGUGCAACAACGACUUCCCACGAGAUGCCAUUUAUUACCCCCGUUACAGGUGCCCUACACUACAGCAACGCACGACACGGCAUAUUUCUAGAAUCGGAUGAGACUCAACAUGUGCUCUUUCUGUUCCUCCGACUAACAACAGAAAUAAAAAAGGCCACUUCUCGUGGUCCUUGCAGCUUUGACUUUACCCGCCACUUCUUCCACCAGGUUGGAUAUCAAAAUGGUUCCUCGGCCUCCCGGGUGGCACAGGCAUUGCAUCGAAGUGCUAGCUGUGCCACCAGAGACUUUGGGUUCGAGCCCAGGCUCUGUGGCGACCGGGAGGUCCAUGGGGCGACGCACAAUUGGCCUGGCGUCGCCCCAAAGGGGUAAAAAAAAAAAAAAAAAAAAAUACAUUUGGUACUUCAUUCAGGUGGUCAUCUUUAAAAAAACGUACUCCUACAAAAUGAUAUGGGAC